UCUAUUUUUUAGUAGAGACAGGGUUUCACUGUGUUAGCCAGGAUGGUCUCGAUCUCCUGACCUCGUGAUCCGCCUGCCUUGGCCUCCCAAAGUGCUGGGAUUACAGGCGUGAGCCACUGCGCCUGGCCCAGAGUGGGAUCUUAAAGCAGAGUCUGGCUCAAGAUUGAGACAAUUCCCAGCAGAAUGAAUGGAGCAGUAACACAGUCAGAAGGCCCUGAGGGAGGCAGGUGGCUCUCUCUGUUCCUGCCAGCACUCUCUCCCCCACUUCUGAUAACAGACCUGCCGUACCAUGGGAAGAUGGCCAAAAAUGGCCGCCCACGGUACUUGUUCCUCGGCUACAGUAAUUGGUCCAUGUGUAGACAUGUGACCCAUCAUGACCAAUCAUAGCAGCCCACUUCUGAGCGGGGGCACAGCAAUUGUUCCAGGUGUAGUCAUGUGACUCAAGCAGGGCGAAUUCAGGAUUGUCUGCAGAGCUUGUAGGGAGGAUGUUUCUUUCUCUCCCUCCUCCUCUCUGGCAUCCAGGCCUUAAAGAGGUAGACUUGGCACUACCAGUGGCCUCAGACAAUAAGGCCAAUAAGCAGAGGGGAGGAGAAAUGAAAGAUGAGGUGAGGGGGUUAGGGCAGGAAGAGAACCCAGAGCUUCCAGUCCCUGGAUCCUAGAGAGCAAUACAGCCUCUUCCCUUUCCUCAUCGUAGCUACCCAGUGAAUAAAUCCCUCGUUCUACCUCAUUCAGAUCAACUUCAGUGCCUGUUGUUUGCAACCCACAGUGUCCCAAUUCAGGACUUGGGAACUGUGUUCCUUUUCAUGGAUUGUGUAGAACUGAAAGGGAUACGUCAUUCUCAGAACUUAUAUUCUUGUUCCGAUGUGCCAGCUGUACUUAAAAAUAAAAGAAUCCCAGACCCAUCUCCAUGUUCACCACCACUCCUGUUAAUUUCCUGCUGAAUUGCAGCUCAACGCAUGUGCUGGGAUUUCAAGUCCUGCCCUAAUCAAUUUACUUCCACCUCCCCAACCUUAACCCCAACCUACACGCACCUUCCUACGCUGGCCUGUGCGUGCAGCCUGCCCUGGCCUCUACUGUGACGCCUACCACGUUAUAUUUGUAAUGAUUUGUUUAUGACUGUCCCCAUACUAGGGAAGGCAUCGAGCUUGAGGAAGAGGCCCCAUUCAUCUCCGUACCCCAGGCCCUGGUACACAGCAGGCAGAUAAACCUGCCAGUAAUUUCAGCAAAUGAAACGUGGAACACGUCAAGGCCAGAGGAUGGAAAAGGCUCCAGUUUUGAUAAAAGGAGGCCUGCUUGGCUUGGAAUCCUCUCUCCUGCUGGUUGGGAGAUGCAAAGAUGUUUCCAGAGAGGGGCUGAUGAAUUGAGGGGAAAGAAAUGAGCCCAGUAUGAGUCCCCUUUCAGGGCUGAGCGGGUAUAAAACCAAACAACUUGGAACCGCUCCAAGAGAGGGGAUUAAAGCAACAUGUUAUUCUGAGUGAUUGCUUAAUUUAUUGAGCUGCGGCUGGAUCUGUAAUGAAAUACAGCCCUUGUAACUGAUAACCUCCUGCUGCCAUUGAACUUCUACAAUUAAGGAAUAUUUUCUGAGUUUCUCUGGAACGGCUCUGAAUUUUUAGCCUCUGUGGUAGGGUGCUUCUGAACAUUUGUUUUCCAGGCAAUUUUUUUUUAGUAUUAGGCUGAUGUUAAUAAAUAAGCAGCAUUUUAUUGAGUGUUUUGUGGGAACCAGGAACUUUAUAUACAUUGUUUCUAAUCCUGACACUAAUCCUGUCAAUAUCCAGUGAAAUAACUCCUAUUAUUCCCUAUUUUACAGAUGUGAAGCCACGGGAUGUUAGGUCAUUUUCUAGAGUGGUGCUGUCCAAGACAGUAGCUGUGAUGGCUCCUUGUGGCUAUUGAUGUGUAAAUUAGUUAAAAUUAAAUAAAUUUUAACAUUUACACCCUAGGUUGCACUAACAAUGAGUUCAAGUGCCCAGCAGCCCCGUGUACUGUGGCUGAUGGCUACCACAUUGGACAGUGCAGAUAUAGACCAUUUGAAGGUUACACAAGUGCUGUUGGUCAGCACUGACUUAGAUUUCCUUUUUUUUUUUUUUUUUUUUUUUUUUUUUUGAGAUGGAGUCUCGCUCUAUUGUCCAGUUUGGAGUGCAGUGGUGCAAUCUCGGCUCACUGCAACCUCCGCCUCCUGGGUUCAAGUGAUUCUCCUGCCCCAGCCUCCUGAGUAGCUGGGACUACAGGAGCAUGCCACCAUGCCCAGCUAAUUUUUGUAUUUUUAAUAGAGAUGGGGUUUCACUGGCCAGGCUGGUCUCGAACUCCUGACCUCAGGGGAUCCACCUGCCUCAGCCUCUCAAAGUGUUGGGAUUACAGGUGUGAGCCACCACACCCAGCCAGGUUCAGAUUUCAUAGCUAGAACCUGGCAGUGCCAGAAUUCAAGCCGAAGCUAAUGGGCUUUGAAGGCAGAGUUCAUCUGCCAGCCUUGUUGCUUCUUUUUCUUCCCUCUGCUGAGAAGCAAGGAACAGAGCAGUGACUGUAACCCCCUGGCUACACAUUAGAAUUACCUGCAAUUCUUUUUUUUUUUUUUGAGACGGAGUCUCACUCUGUAACCCAGGCUGGAGUGCAGUGGUGUGAUCUUGGCUCACUGCAACCUCCACCUCCCAGGUUCAAGCAAUUCUCCUGCCUCAGCCUUCCAAGUAGCCGGGAUUAUAGGCACACACCACAACGCCCAGCUAAUUUUUGUAUCUUUAGUAGAGAUGGGGUUUCGCCAUGUUGGCCAGGCUGGUCUCGAACUCCUGACGUCAGGUGAUCCACCCUCCUUGACCUCCCAAAGUGUUGGGAUUACAAGCAUGAGCCACCGCACCCGGCCUACCUACAAUUCUUUUUUUUUGAGAUGGAGUCUCGCUGUCUCCCAGGCUGGAGUGCAGUGGCGCGAUCUCAGCUCACUGCAAGCUCUACAUCCCAGGUUCAUGUCAUUCUCCUGCUUCAGCCUCCCGAGUAGCUGGGACUACAGGCGCCCGCCACCACGCCCAGCUAAUUUUUUGUAUUUUUAGUAGAGACGGGGUUUCACCAUGUUAGCCAGGAUGGUCUCAAUCUCCUGACCUCCUGAUCCUACCACCUCGGCUUCCCAAAGUGCUGGAAGCUGUGAGCUUUUUCCCAAAGUGCUGGAAGCUGUGAGCCGCCAUGCCUGGCCCCUGCAAUUCUUUAAAAAAAACGAUGGUAGGGUCCCAGGCCCAGAUAAUCUGACUUCACUGUGAUUAAGCCGGGUUGGGACAGGCAUCAGAGGUUUUUCUACUUCCCCAUGUGAUGCCACUGUGCAGCCAGCACGUAGAGCAGCUAGGCGUGAGGACCCACACAGAGGACGCUGGAAGCAGCUGGUUCAUCUGCCAGGAGAAUGCAGUAUCUUGUGACCAAGAAGUGGGCUUCUCCCAGGGCCACUUCUAAACCACCUCAUCAGAGAGCUCAGGUUCAUAUGCGAGGGAAGAAACUGAAGUGCUUUCUCACACGCUUCCAGCUUGAUGAGAAUCACAGUAGGGAGCUUUGCUUUUCCAAACAGGCUUUGUCACAUGAUCAUGGAAGAAAGGAGAUGCCCACGUAAGAUCACAGAGACAAGGUGAAAAACCCGUAGCCCCGAAUUGGAAUUGGAAGCAUCAGUAUGAAUUCAUGCUAUAUUUUUGUCUUACAAAGUAAAGCAGGUGUUUGCUAGCUCUGUCAACCAUAAAGUUUAGAAAUAAUGAGCCAUCCAAUAGCAGUGAACACCCCAGCACCCAGGUUAUGGUGUCUAAACGCCACUUCCGACUAGGAAUGAGGGCAUGGAGAAAUAACCAAUUCCAGGUCUGAGGCAAGAAAAAAAAUUCAAGAUGAGCCUGGAACAUCUGGUCAUUCCUUGCUUCCUUGAUAGCAGGGAAGGUGAGGGUCACAUUGAAAAGGAUGCAGGAGACAACAUGGAGCGGCUCCCAAUGGGGAGAGUUUGAGCAUCAUUAACAAUAAUGGGCCGAGCGCGGUGGCUCACGUCUGUAAUCCCAGCACUUUGGGAGGCCGAGGUGGGUGGAUCACAAGGUCAGGAGAUGGAGACCAUCCUGGCUAACACAGUGAAACCCCGUCUCUACUAAAAAUACAAAAAAUUAGCCGGGUGUGGUGGUGGGGCACCUGUAGUCCCAGCUACUCGGGAGGCUGAGGCAGGAGAAUGGCAUGAACCCGGGAGGCGGAGCUUGCAGUAAGCCGAGAUCGGGCCACUGCAUUCCAGCCUGGGCGACAGAGCGAGACUCCGUCUCAAAAAUAAAUAAAUAAAUAAAUAAAUAAUAAUGACUAUAGGCCAGGUGCAGUGGCUUAUGCCUGUAAUCCCAGCACUUUGGGAGGCCAAGGUGGGCAGAUCACUUGAAGUCAGGAGUUAGAGACCAGCCUGGCCAACAUGGUGAAACCCCAUCUCUACCAAAAAUAUAAAAAAUUAGCUGGGUGUGGUGGCAUACACAUGUAAUCCCAGCUACUUGGGAGGCUGAGGCAGAAGAAUCGCUUGAACCCAGGAGGCGGAAGUUGCAGUGAGCCAAGAUUGUGCCACUACACUCCAGCCUAGGUGACAGAGCAAGACGCCCAUCUCAAAAAAAAAAAAAAAAAAAGAAAGAAUGACUUUGAUGGAUUGAAACAUGUCAUAUAUGUCCAAAUCUAUGAGUUGACAAUACUUAAAAAAAAAAAAAAAGGAAAAAGAAAAAUUCAUUUAUCACCAUGGGAGGAUAUUGGAAAACCCAACUCAUUUUGAAAACUGUCAAAGAAAGGGAAAGAAGCAUUUAUCCUUUUUGGUACAAACCAUACUUUUUGGUAGCCAAAUCGUUGAUAAAUUGAUACCUUUUAUAGACAUAUGUCCACUACCAAAGACAGAAUCAUAGAAUUAGUAUACCACCAUGGUGUAAUAUCUAAUGAAAUAAUGGGCCAGGUGUAGUGGCUCAUCCCUGUAAUCCCAACACUUUCGGAGGCCGAGAUGGGAAGAUUGUUUGAGGCCAGAAGUUCAAGACCACCCUGGGCAACACAGACCUGUCUAUGCAACAAGAUCCUGUCUCUACAAAAAAAAAAAAAAAAAAAAAAAAUUAGCCAGGUUUGGGCAUGUGCCUGUAGUCCCAGCUGUUUGGAAGGCUCAGGUGGGAGGAUCCCUUGAGCCCAGGAGGUCAAGGCUGCAGUCAGCCAUGAUUGCACCACUGCACUCUAACUUACGUGACAGAGCAAGACCCCUCAAAAAAAAAAAGAAGAAGAAGAAAUUGUGGAUCUAGACAAUGAUCAUCAACAACAGCUGCUAACAUUGCAAAGAGGAACAACCAGACAGUGUGUGCCUUUGAAUGGAAGUACAAAACCACCAAUAGGAAGUGCUCAUACAAAAAAAAAAAAAAAAAAAAAUCAAACAUCAAUCUAAGUGAUCUCCUAGGCCUAACUACCAAUUUCUAAGAAAUAUAGCGGGAAGAGGAGCACAUGACACUUCUAUGGAGAUGCUAUAACCAAAAUUCAGACCACAGGAAACUACAGAACAAACAAGCCAGUUUCUUCAACAAAUAAAUUGCAAGGGAAGAAAAAGACAAGGGAAGAGAACCUACAGGUUAGGAGAGAGAGAAAAGCAAUCCCAACCGAUGGCAACAUUCGAACUUUAUUUGGAUCCUGAUUUUAACUAGCUAAAGAAACCCUUUAGCUGGGCGCGGUGGCUCACACCUGUAAUCCCAGCAUUUUGGGAGGCCAAGCCGGGUGGAUCACAAGGUCAGGAGUUCAAGACCAGCCUGGCCAAGAUGGUGAAACCCCGUCUCUACUAAAAAUACAAAAAUUAGCCAGGUGCAGUGGCGUGCACCUGUAAUCUCAGCUAUUCAGGAGGCUGAGGCAGGAGAAUCUCUUAAACCCAGAAGGCGGAGGUUGCAGUGAGCUGAUAUCACGCCACCGCACUCUAGCCUGGGCAACAGAGCAAGACUCCGUCUCAAAAAAAAAAAAAAAAAAAGAAA